UAACAUCCACAGGCUACCAGCCCCCCCAGGCUGGGCAAGUAUCUCUUCGAAAGGCUCACCUUCAAGCACGACUAGGAGC
rnacentral:pre_miRNA from 1 species